AUUGAACGCUGGCGGCAGGCUUAACACAUGCAAGUCGAGCGGAGAUGAGGUGCUUGCACCUUAUCUUAGCGGCGGACGGGUGAGUAAUGCUUAGGAAUCUGCCUAUUAGUGGGGGACAACAUUCCGAAAGGAAUGCUAAUACCGCAUACGUCCUACGGGAGAAAGCAGGGGAUCUUCGGACCUUGCGCUAAUAGAUGAGCCUAAGUCGGGUUAGCUAGUUGGUGGGGUAAAGGCCUACCAAGGCGACGAUCUGUAGCGGGUCUGAGCGGAUGAGCCGCCAUGCUGGGACUGAGACACGGCCCAGACUCCUACGGGAGGAAGCAGUGGGGAAUAUUGGACAAUGGGGGGAACCCUGAUCCGGCCAUGCCGCGUGUGUGAAGAAGGCCUUAUGGUUGUAAAGCACUUUAAGCGAGGAGGAGGCUACUGAGACUAAUACUCUUGGAUAGUGGACGUUACUCGCAGAAUAAGCACCGGCUAACUCUGUGCCAGCCGCCGCGGUAA
rnacentral:rRNA from 1 species